UUGAACGCUGGCGGUAUGCUUAACACAUGCAAGUCGAACGGAAACGAUACUAGCUUGCUAGUAGGCGUCGAGUGGCGGACGGGUGAGUAACGCGUAGGAAUCUGCCUGAUAGUGGGGGAUAGCCCGAAGAAAUUCGGAUUAAUACCGCAUAAUCUAUUCGUAGUAAAGUGGGGGACUUUCGAGCCUCACGCUAUCAGAUGAGCCUGCGUAAGAUUAGCUAGUUGGUAGGGUAAAAGCCUACCAAGGCAACGAUCUUUAGCUGGUCUGAGAGGAUGAUCAGCCACAUCGGGGCUGAGACACGGCCCGAACUCCUACGGGAGGCAGCAGUGGGGAAUAUUGGACAAUGGGGGCAACCCUGAUCCAGCAAUACCGCGUGUGUGAAGAAGGCCUGAGGGUUGUAAAGCACUUUCAAUUGUGAAGAAAAGCUAGUGGUUAAUAGCCAUUAGCCUUGACGUUAACUUUAGAAGAAGCACCGGCUAACUCCGUGCCAGCAGCCGCGGUAAUACGGAGGGUGCAAGCGUUAAUCGGAAUUACUGGGCGUAAAGCGUGCGUAGGCGGUUUAUUAAGUCAGAUGUGAAAGCCCCGGGGCUUAACCUGGGAACUGCAUUUGAAACUGGUCAACUAGAGUAUGGUAGAGGAAAGUGGAAUUUCUGGUGUAGCGGUGAAAUGCGUAGAUAUCAGAAGGAACAUCAAUGGCGAAGGCAACUUUCUGGACCAAUACUGACGCUGAGGUACGAAAGCGUGGGUAGCAAACAGGAUUAGAUACCCUGGUAGUCCACGCCGUAAACGAUGAUAACUAGCCGUUGGGGGGAUUUACCCCUUAGUGGCGAAGCUAACGCGUUAAGUUAUCCGCCUGGGGAGUACGGCCGCAAGGUUAAAACUCAAAGGAAUUGACGGGGACCCGCACAAGCGGUGGAGCAUGUGGUUUAAUUCGAUGCAACGCGAAGAACCUUACCUGGUCUUGACAUCCUGAGAACUUUCUAGAAAUAGAUUGGUGCCUUCGGGAACUCAGUGACAGGUGCUGCAUGGCUGUCGUCAGCUCGUGUCGUGAGAUGUUGGGUUAAGUCCCGUAACGAGCGCAACCCCUAUCCUUAUUUGCCAGCACAUCAUGGUGGGAACUAUAAGGAGACUGCCGGUGAUAAACCGGAGGAAGGCGGGGACGACGUCAAGUCAUCAUGGCCCUUACGACCAGGGCUACACACGUGCUACAAUGGGAAGGACAAAGAGCCGCGAAGCCGCGAGGUGUAGCUAAUCUCAGAAACCUUUUCGUAGUCCGGAUUGGAGUCUGCAACUCGACUCCAUGAAGUCGGAAUCGCUAGUAAUCGUAGAUCAGAAUGCUACGGUGAAUACGUUCCCGGGUCUUGUACACACCGC
rnacentral:rRNA from 1 species